GCUCUCGGGUGACGAGCGGCGGACGGGUGAGUAAUGUCUGGGAAACUGCCUGAUGGAGGGGGAUAACUACUGGAAACGGUAGCUAAUACCGCAUAAUGUCGCAAGACCAAAGUGGGGGACCUUCGGGCCUCAUGCCAUCAGAUGUGCCCAGAUGGGAUUAGCUAGUAGGUGGGGUAACGGCUCACCUAGGCGACGAUCCCUAGCUGGUCUGAGAGGAUGACCAGCCACACUGGAACUGAGACACGGUCCAGACUCCUACGGGAGGCAGCAGUGGGGAAUAUUGCACAAUGGGCGCAAGCCUGAUGCAGCCAUGCCGCGUGUGUGAAGAAGGCCUUCGGGUUGUAAAGCACUUUCAGCGGGGAGGAAGGCGUUAAGGUUAAUAACCUUGUCGAUUGACGUUACCCGCAGAAGAAGCACCGGCUAACUCCGUGCCAGCAGCCGCGGUAAUACGGAGGGUGCAAGCGUUAAUCGGAAUUACUGGGCGUAAAGCGCACGCAGGCGGUCUGUCAAGUCGGAUGUGAAAUCCCCGGGCUCAACCUGGGAACUGCAUUCGAAACUGGCAGGCUAGAGUCUUGUAGAGGGGGGUAGAAUUCCAGGUGUAGCGGUGAAAUGCGUAGAGAUCUGGAGGAAUACCGGUGGCGAAGGCGGCCCCCUGGACAAAGACUGACGCUCACGUGCGAAAGCGUGGGGAGCAAACAGGAUUAGAUACCCUGGUAGUCCACGCCGUAAACGAUGUCGAUUUGGAGGUUGUGCCCUUGAGGCGUGGCUUCCGGAGCUAACGCGUUAAAUCGACCGCCUGGGGAGUACGGCCGCAAGGUUAAAACUCAAAUGAAUUUGACGGGGGCCCGCACAAGCGGUGAGCAUGUGAUUUAAUUCGAUGCACGCGAAGAACCUUACCUGGUCUUGACAUCCACAGAACUUUCCAGAGAUGGAUUGGUGCCUUCGGGACUGUGAGACAGUGCUGCAUGCUGUCGUCAGCUCUGUGUGAAUGUUGG
rnacentral:rRNA from 1 species